rnacentral:sRNA from 1 species
UGUAAUAUGCAAACAUUAUGAUUUGAGUUUCCUGAUAAUCUAGGAAAAAAGGAAAACAAGACGAUUCACUUAUGUGGUUGGAAUUAUAAAAUGCUAACCAAUACCUAUUUCUUCCUCAUUGUAGCAUUUCAUGUUUUGCCACGGAGUGGCUUCACCCAUGUGAUCAAUUUCCCCCUGGUCAAUGGGAUGGGAAUGGACUUGAUAGGAAACCACAGGAUAUACUUUUAGCAUAAUGAAUAUGCACCGAGCCCAAGAUGUGAUCGAAGAAGCUGGAAGUGACACUUGGAACCCAGGAAGCCAGUGUCCUUUGACAGGUCGCCUCCACUGGUCCUGGGCGGCCAUUGCUGGAGCUCUCACGCAGCACAGAGUAUGCUCUGACAGUUUAGCGAUUGGUACUUUAAAGUGGAGCUGUGUAGUGAGAACAGGAACCCUAAAGCGUGCAGCAGUGCUUCAGUGGUGAGGCAGCGGACAUUGAAGCUGAUGGUGUUGAGGCUCGUAGAGGAACUAAUGCUUUCCGUGCCAUGGUACACACUGGAUGAGGCAGUCACCAGCAACAGAUGACGUCAUUCCCAAUCUCUGCAGCACCUGGUAAGAAGUGAUAGCCUCUGCCUGCCACACGAGUUACUGCUGGAGAGAAUGCACCAAGUGGCAGUUUGGUGACUCGUCACCUGUGUGUGCCUGGUCCGUCAUAUGUCAUAGUUCUUGCCAAGGCUGAUGUCAGGAAGCCUUUCUCCUAGGCUUCCCUUUAAGGAGCCUUGUAGAGUCCUUAGCACCUUUGCUGGAGAUCAGUCAGUUCAAUCCUACACUUAUGGGGUUAUUUCCUGGGCUUUCCAAUCUGGUCUAUUCACGUCGGUGUGGCUUUUGUACCAUCCUGUCUGCUUUACACAGUUGCAGCUCGAGACCAGCAGGAAGUGUGUUGCCUUUGGCCCUGAUGCCCUCUUGUGAUUGCUUGGGCCAUUUAAUCUCCGUGGUCGUCGCACAUAAACUGCAGGAUUGAUUUUUUAUGUUUCUGUAUUUACAAUGUUUUAGUAGACAUCCUUCCUAUAAUCUUGGGAUUAGACUUUGAUUUUCCUCAGUUCUGUGUGCGUGUAUACUUCACGAAGAUGACUCGGAUCCCUUCCGGAAAGGGCUACGGUCUAAGCAUAUGAAUGUGAGUUAUGAAGUUCUAAUAGGAUACUCCUAAGGAGCAUUUGGCUGCUUUGGUUCCCCUUCUAGGUUAAAAACAAAGUUAGUCAUCUUCACUAUACUGGUUUUGAAUUUCAUUGAAUCUGCAGGGUGGUAGCUACUUAGCACGUCACUGGACGCUGAUGAUUUGUGCUAUAUUGAACUGUGAGUUCUUUGAGGGGCAGUAAUUAUUUAAAACCUUAGUCAAUCACUGUGUGGUGAGAAUGAACUAAACAUGUGGAUCUUACUAUAAGAGGUGUUAAGCACAGAUGGUUCUGAGGAAUCCUGACAGCACACCAGUGAAUGUCUAUUCCUGCAGGUACCAGGCUCGGGAACAGGUACAAAGUGGCCAGUAUGGGAGCUGUCAGCAGCUGGACAGCUUUUGAGGCACAAUGGAGAAUGGAAUGUGAAAAGAAGGAGGCUUGAGUUUCUCCAGCUUUUAUCUCUCGUGUCUCUGCACCAACUACCAUCACAAGGGCUUCCUGUCAGUGGAUUAGCACAUUUAAAACAAAGGCCACUUGUCAGUGUGCAGAAGUCCAACAACUUUCAGCUGGCCUUUCUGUUGUAGUAAUAUACUUGAAAGUCAAGCGAAGGAGGGAAGACUUCUCCGAGCUUGUAGCUCAGGCUGUGGUCCCUUGGCCCCAUCACUGUGGACUUGGGUUAAGGCAGAACAUCAGAGUGGACAGGGCGUGGUGAGGUAAAUAGACACAGUCAUCACACAGCAGCCAGGCACAGAACAGGAAACACAAGGCUCAAGAACAAGACACUCCUUAAGGAGAUGUCUCAAUGGUCUCCUUCUUCAAACCAUGUCCUGUGCUUUUGAGUGACCCCCUUCAGGUAUGAGCACCAUGGUGAACUACUCCAUUAAUGAGGUUAGAACUUUUAUCAUCCAAUCACCUCUCCAAGUUAAUUGCUUUUUACCACUGGUGCCUUACCACCCUUUACUAGGGUGGGGGUGGGGGUCCCCACAAACCUGGAAAGUCAAUGUAACUCUAUCAGGGGGUUCAUGGACCUCGUCUCAACUGAUCCUCCAAAAAUUCUGUCAAGUGAGUUGCGUGUUGGCAGGGCUGAGGUUUUAACUCAGAUCCCCAUCCCCCAAAGUCUUCAUUCCAUUGGAAUCAUUCUUUCCGACUUUAUACCAUUUCAUGAGGAGUUGGUCUGCUUAGAAAAACAGAGUUUGAGGAUGUUUUUAACUGCAGAGAUGGAAAGAAUUUAGAUGAAUAAUCCUGUAACAUUUUUUCACGUGAAACCACUACGAAUGUUUUAUUCUCCAGGCUGAGAAGGAAACGUCUCUUGGGUGAUAGUGCCAGGUACCUGCUUAGGCUGAUCUCUCUGCAUCCUGAACUUCCCUCCUUCCUUUGGACAUUGUGUUUACUCUUUUCGAAUGUUUUCUGUCUUCCAGAUUGAAAUGUGUGUGUCCAGUACAGCUUUCCAGCAGUAAACGCCAUGCAUGAUUUGCUCAGCCCAUCUCAAUCAUCUGAACAAUGGGUGUGUGCUUCUGGUUCGAGGUCACAGCAAAGCUAUUGAUCAUGGCCAGUCCCAAACUCAGUGGGCUCCUUUCCGUCCUCCCAUCCUCAGUUGUCCUGGGGCACCAGACAAGGCAGAUUACACGAAGCCUCUGAGAAAACAGCACAGACAAUAAUUCCACCUCAAAACCUAAUCUGAUGCACGGACGGUCAGUCUGCUGAACGAACUUUCCCACCAUGAAUGUAAGUUGAUUUUGUUUCUUUAUUUUUCCCCCCAAAGGUUCUGACCUACUAAGUGUCCUUAAUGUGGCUCACACCUUUAAGGAAGCAAGAGGCUCACUCAUUUGGAUAGUCCCAACCUGCUCCUUUUGCAUUCUGACAUAGCUGAUGAGUCCCGUAAAUGACAUUUCCUCAGAAUAUGGGUCAAUAAACAUUUAUUGAGUACUUCCUGGGGGCCAGGGCCUGGUUACAUGGAUAAUAUUUACAGAUAGCAGGAAAAGUCAUGGAAGAUAUUCAAGAAAAUUGUAGUCUGCAUCUGGAGAGGAGGAGGGGAGACAGAGAGACAGAUAUAUUAACAAGUCAUAAAUAAGUAACUAGAUAAGUGCUAAACAUUGAGGACAAAGUACUAGGUUAGGUUCAAACUCCACUGGGCAGGAAAUAGCUCACUGGGAGAUGAGGAAAGCUUGCAUAUGAGGCUUUCGAAGUAGGGCUUAAAGAUGGGUCAGAGUUUAAUAGGUGGUCAGCAUUCACAGAGCCUAGGGAAGAACACGAGAUCAGAGCCAUCAGCAGAAUAAGGAACGUGUCUGAGUGGAUUGAUAGACUUAACUUUUGACUGGACCCUUUGUGUCUCCAUAAAGAAUGUAGUUUGCUGUGUCCUGCAUUCCUGCAAGCCUCUGCGUCCUGUUUUUUGGUUUUUUGUUUUUUGUUUUGUCUUGGCUUCACUAUUUGGUCAAGUCUUCAUCCCCAUCUUUCACACCUUGGCCUUAUGGGAGAUUCAGGAAAGAGCUGGAGAGGGCCAGCUGUUUCUUGCUGUCUCAAAGCACUUUCUCCAAGGCACACGUUAAUGCGGCUUCUGUGUCCUCAUUGCACAGCCUUGGGAAGAAGGUGGUAGGGAUGGACCCACUGGAGAGGAAGCCUUUGGUUUUUAAAAGCCAUCUAGACUGGCAGUUGUUCAGCCUUGCCUCAACUACAAAGUCAGUGAACGUCCUGCAACAUACGCUCGGGUGUGGACGUCGGGUUCCUAAUAGAAACUGGAACUUGUAUCACAUAGCAGCUGGUGGUGACAUCACACAGGGCCUUCCUCUGAGGACGGCAUCACACAGGGCCGCCUUCUGACAAGCUCCCUUUCUAGGGCAGUACCAAAAGCAGGUUCACUUCUCCUGAGGACAAUUUAGGGGAUGCAUGGCUAUUCUAAAAUCUGCAGCUGUCUGUUACAGAGAUGUGUGCGUAGUGGGGGCAUGACUGUAGAUGUUCCUAACACAAAUGUCUCCUGAAGACAAGAAUUCCUAAACUGUAACUCCAAAAACCGAUGGUGUUUGAAUGAAAUGUUCCUAUGUCUCUUUACUAUUUAGCCGCUGUGAUUUCACUGGCAGGACACGGAACAGAAAUGGUAGUCUAGUUAUCGUUUUGAUUUCCUAGGCUUUCAUCUCGGUAAAAACAAGAAAUAGGGCCUCCAGGGAUGACUCAACGUUUAAGAGCACAGACUGCUCUUGUGGAAGACCUGGGUUCAGUUUCUAACAUCUACAUAGCAGUUGACAACCACCUGUAACUCCAGUGCCAGGGGAUUGGACACCUUCUUCUGAAUCCACACACCAAGCACUCAGUGUGGCACCCAUGUAUUCGUGCACACAAAUAGGCAAAAUGUUCAUCUGUAUAAAAUAAAAAACAUUCAA